rnacentral:rRNA from 1 species
CCUUCGGGUUGUAAACCUCUUUCAGUAGGGAAGAAGCGAAAGUGACGGUACCUGCAGAAGAAGCGCCGGCUAACUACGUGCCAGCAGCCGCGGUAAUACGUAGGGCGCAAGCGUUAUCCGGAAUUAUUGGGCGUAAAGAGCUCGUAGGCGGUUUGUCGCGUCUGCCGUGAAAGUCCGGGGCUCAACUCCGGAUCUGCGGUGGGUACGGGCAGACUAGAGUGAUGUAGGGGAGACUGGAAUUCCUGGUGUAGCGGUGAAAUGCGCAGAUAUCAGGAGGAACACCGAUGGCGAAGGCAGGUCUCUGGGCAUUAACUGACGCUGAGGAGCGAAAGCAUGGGGAGCGAACAGGAUUAGAUACCCUGGUAGUCCAUGCCGUAAACGUUGGGCACUAGGUGUGGGGGACAUUCCACGUUUUCCGCGCCGUAGCUAACGCAUUAAGUGCCCCGCCUGGGGAGUACGGCCGCAAGGCUAAAACUCAAAGGAAUUGACGGGGGCCCGCACAAGCGGCGGAGCAUGCGGAUUAAUUCGAUGCAACGCGAAGAACCUUACCAAGGCUUGACAUGAACCGGAAAGACCUGGAAACAGGUGCCCCGCUUGCGGUCGGUUUACAGGUGGUGCAUGGUUGUCGUCAGCUCGUGUCGUGAGAUGUUGGGUUAAGUCCCGCAACGAGCGCAACCCUCGUUCUAUGUUGCCAGCACGUGAUGGUGGGGACUCAUAGGAGACUGCCGGGGUCAACUCGGAGGAAGGUGGGGACGACGUCAAAUCAUCAUGCCCCUUAUGUCUUGGGCUUCACGCAUGCUACAAUGGCCGGUACAAAGGGUUGCGAUACUGUGAGGUGGAGCUAAUCCCAAAAAGCCGGUCUCAGUUCGGAUUGGGGUCUGCAACUCGACCCCAUGAAGUCGGAGUCGCUAGUAAUCGCAGAUCAGCAAUGCUGCGGUG